rnacentral:rRNA from 1 species
GACGAACGCUGACAGCAUGCUUAACACAUCAGCAAUUGAUUGGUGGCGGACGGGUGAGUAACGCGUACAGAACUUGCCCCUCCGGUACGGACAACAUUAGGAAACGAAUGCUACUACUUAAUCCUGUGAGAGAGUUUUGUGUCCCAUUAGCUAGUUGGAGCGGUAACGGCUCACCAAGGCGAUGAUGGGUAGCCGGCCUGCGAGGGUGAGCGGCCAAGAGGGGACUGAGAGACGGCCCGUACUCCUACUGGGGGCAGGAGUGGGGAAUAAUGGACAAUGGACGAAAGUCGAAUCCGGCAAUUCUGUGGUCACGAUAAAUUUUUCGGAAGGUAAAGUGCUUUCAGUAUAGAAGCGGUACCAACAGAAGAAGCGACGGCUAAAUACGUGCCAGCCGCCGCGGUAAUUC